AGCAGUGUGGCCUAGUGGAAAGAGCAUGAAUUUGGGAAUCCGAGACCUGGGUUCUAAUCCCAGCUCUGCCA
rnacentral:tRNA from 1 species